AGGGAAUCUUCCACAAUGGACGCAAGUCUGAUGGAGCAACGCCGCGUGAGUGAAGAAGGUUUUCGGAUCGUAAAGCUCUGUUGUUGGUGAAGAAGGAUAGAGGCAGUAACUGGUCUUUAUUUGACGGUAAUCAACCAGAAAGUCACGGCUAACUACGUGCCAGCAGCCGCGGUAAUACGUAGGUGGCAAGCGUUGUCCGGAUUUAUUGGGCGUAAAGCGAGCGCAGGCGGAAUGAUAAGUCUGAUGUGAAAGCCCACGGCUCAACCGUGGAACUGCAUCGGAAACUGUCAUUCUUGAGUGCAGAAGAGGAGAGUGGAACUCCAUGUGUAGCGGUGGAAUGCGUAGAUAUAUGGAAGAACACCAGUGGCGAAGGCGGCUCUCUGGUCUGCAACUGACGCUGAGGCUCGAAAGCAUGGGUAGCGAACAGGAUUAGAUACCCUGGUAGUCCAUGCCGUAAACGAUGAGCGCUAGGUGUUGGGGACUUUC
rnacentral:rRNA from 1 species